rnacentral:snRNA from 1 species
UAGUGCUUACAGCUUUUUAAAAAUUUGUCUAGUAGGUCUUUCAGUUUUCACCGGAAGCCCCCC